rnacentral:rRNA from 1 species
AAAUUGAAGAGUUUGAUCAUGGCUCAGAUUGAACGCUGGCGGCAGGCCUAACACAUGCAAGUCGAGCGGAAACGAGUUAUCAGAACCUUCGGGGAACGAUAACGGCGUCGAGCGGCGGACGGGUGAGUAAUGCCUAGGAAAUUGCCCUGAUGUGGGGGAUAACCAUUGGAAACGAUGGCUAAUACCGCAUGAUGCCUACGGGCCAAAGAGGGGGACCUUCGGGCCUCUCGCGUCAGGAUAUGCCUAGGUGGGAUUAGCUAGUUGGUGAGGUAAGGGCUCACCAAGGCGACGAUCCCUAGCUGGUCUGAGAGGAUGAUCAGCCACACUGGAACUG